GCUUACGGCCACACCGCCUGGUUCACGCCCGAUCUCGUUUGAUCUCGGAAGCUAAGAUAGGUUGGGCCUGGUUAGUACUUGGAUAGGAGACCGCCUAGGAAUACCAGGUGCUGUAAGGC
ensembl:rRNA 5S_rRNA 5S ribosomal RNA